rnacentral:lncRNA from 1 species
UAAAAAUUCUGCCUAUAUAAUGUUUUCACCGUUCAUUCGCGGUAAGAUGAAUCUCUGAACUAUUUAAUGAAUGAUGUAACAUAUGUUGGUCGUUGCACUAUUUUUUGAUUCUUUUAUAUCGUUAAACUGGCAAGUAUUUUAUGCCAGUCGUUAAAAGUUCUUAAUUUUGGAAUCUUUUGAUAAGAAAGUAAAUAAUGUAUUAAAAUUAUAAGUUUUAAUUUUUUGAACUUUCAAAUACUCUAAAUUAUAUUUAAAAGUGUAAAUUAUUGAUUCAGAAGCUCAAUCAGUAAAAAUAGCUUAAAAAUAUGAAAACAACCGUACUCAUAAGAAUAUAAUAAUUAGUCGCACACACACAUACUCUCUCUCUCUCUAUAUAUAUAUGUCAAUAUAUUAAUUUAG